GGAAGAUGCGAGCGUUAUCCGGAUUUAUUGGGUUUAAAGGGAGCGUAGACGGGAGAUUAAGUCAGCUGUGAAAGUUUGCGGCUCAACCGUAAAAUUGCAGUUGAUACUGGUUUUCUUGAGUGCGGUUGAGGUGUGCGGAAUUCGUGGUGUAGCGGUGAAAUGCUUAGAUAUCACGAAGAACCCCGAUUGCGAAGGCAGCACACUAAGCCGUAACUGACGUUCAUGCUCGAAAGUGUGGGUAUC
rnacentral:rRNA from 1 species